rnacentral:rRNA from 1 species
AACAUCUAAGUACCUGGAGGAAGAGAAAGAAAAAUCGAUUUCCUGAGUAGCGGCGAGCGAAACGGAAAGAGCCCAAACCAAGAAGCUUGCUUCUUGGGGUUGUAGGACACUCUAUACGGAGUUACAAAAGAAAGUUAUAAAUGAAGCGGUCUGGAAAGGCCCGCCAAAGACGGUAACAGCCCGGUAGUUGAAAUGGCUUUCCCUCCAGAGUGGAUCCUGAGUACGGCGGAACACGUGAAAUUCCGUCGGAAUCCGGGAGGACCAUCUCCCAAGGCUAAAUACUCCCUAGUGACCGAUAGUGAACCAGUACCGUGAGGGAAAGGUGAAAAGCACCCCGGAAGGGGAGUGAAACAGUUCCUGAAACCGUGU